rnacentral:lncRNA from 13 species
AUGGAGAGUGUUCUUCAACAGAGACUACUGAGAUGUUCAUCAGACUGUGAGCACUUCAUGGAGAAGACUACCACUGAUAGGUGUCCACUGCACGUACGGCUUCAAUCGGACAGGCUUUCUGAUCUGUGCAUACCUGGUGGAGAAGAUGGAUUGGAGGAGAGGAUUAUCGACAAGGUGAACGGCCAGCCCGUCCCGCACUACCUGAUCUAUGACAUCAUUAAACUCAACGUGAGUAGUGCCGUGCCUGCUGUGCCUGGUCAGCUGAAAAUGUGUAGCCUCUGAUGCGUUGCCCCUGUCAUUCCCUGACGAGGUGCCAGACAUACCAGGCCUUGGUCAGUACGCCCAAGGUCAGCCAGUACACCAGGUCUAUUGGCACACUUAAAGCCCCAUCAGCAGCCCCUCUGACCCCUGUGUUUAAUAGUUAAUAUCUCUAUCUACAUUGUUAGCCCUGCCACUGUCCAUGGUGGCAGCUAGUCUGUGUGUCAGACUGAUGAAUGCUGCCUGGGAGGAGAGGAGCGGAGCUCAAUCUGACUGCUCCCCAGACCCCUCCACUCUCUGGUCAGCCAGCCAGCCAGCAGGACUCAGUAAAACCUGACCGUAAAGAUCCAGGACACUGUCCAGGAUGCACGCGCUAACGUCACAGCAGCCAAUCUGCCAAUCGCUAAACAUCGCUAAUCGCUAAUCUCUAUCACAGCCAUUUCAGAGUAGCCUCGCUGGACCACAAUCCUGUUUUGCAGUCCUCAGACUUUCUGAAUGUUUAACUUCCACAAAUCGCAUGUUUGUUUUUCUAUUUCACAAGUUCUGUUGUAUACACCAACUACUGAAGACACUCCGCUAAGGAGCAUUGAGCUUGAUGGUCUUCUUCUCAACUGAAACUAAUUAUCAAUUUACUGCUAAUUAGUUACCUGGGCGAUCAAUCCCACUGACAUCUAUGUACAGAGAAUAUUUGUUAUAGAAGACUAAAGCUGAAUCCCAAAUGGUACCCUAUUCCCAACAUAGUACACUACCUUUGACCAGAGCCCUAUGGUCCCAGUAAGGAAUAGGGUACUACUCGGGACGCACGUUGAUUAUGUAUUCCCUGGCUUCAUCCACAUCACACAUUUUCACUGAGCUGUGAGAUUGCUGCCGUUUAUUUCAGGGGGAAAUGGCAUAUAGGCUAUUAACAGAUAAUAUUCCUACUGAUGUCUAAUGAACUCAGAGCCGGUGCUGAUGCCAAUCUCAAUGCUAGGCUAGCUAGGUCUUUACCAGGCAGGCUCAGAGAUGAAUGCGCGUGCAUGAAACAGUCUGCCAGCCAGUCUGUCAGUCCCUGUUCUGUCCUAAUAAUAGAAAGGAUGGAUUCCAGGAGGAUGGAUUCCAGGAGGAUGGAUUGAGGCCAUUAUGUGGAGUGUGUCGCCUCCUGCCGCCAUCGAUCAGUGGAUCACACAGGGAGGGAAGUAGAGGGUCUUGGUGAAGGCAGUGGUGGGGGCUAGGAGGGCGGUGGCGGUACAGAGGUUAGCAGCGCUGUGUCGCUCCCCGAGCCGUCAUUAAGCGCUGCACAAUUGAUCCACAGUACCCAGCCCAUUAUUGGCCUGCUCUAUCAUCCCAGUCAGACAGCCCAGCCUAGGCACCAGGCUCCACACAGAGACAGUCACAACUUAUUUUGUCAAGACACAAUCAAUCGCCACUAUUCUCUAAUCGCUUGUCUGCUUUGCUGCCAGAAUCAUUGCUCCUUGGUCAGAUCAUUAUUGUAGAAGACGAUGUGUUCUUGAAGACAAGUGGGUUGUAAUAAUGAUCUAUCCAUUUGGGCCUAUGUGGCUGUAAUCUUUGAAAGGAAAGGAUGAGGUUACAAAGCUUAGGUUGGAGUUGUGUGCAGUAGGACAGAGUCGAUUGGCUACUGUUACAGUUUGUUUGAUAUGGAUUAUCACUUCAUGCUGCAUUACUCUGUUACGGUACAUUACCUCAACAGUCAUCCUACACGAUGCCACAAUGCUGGUCCCUUGUCUAUGACUCUCGAAAACAUGACAUUGCUUGACCUCAAUCACCACCUGGAGACAAGGGGGAGAAAAUUAUAUUUUCUGCUGUUGCCAGGGGUUAUGAAAUAAGCCUUUUUUUUUGUUUUCCUGGAAAAGUCCUGUCGGUGUCUGCUCCAGAGUUAAACCAUACCACUCACUGUCAGCCACAGGAGAAUCCAAGAGCUGUGUCAUGAUAAAGACACAAUGUCACUGUAGAUUUAUCUCCAUAUUUAAUAUAUUUCAUCACCGUUUCUGCUUUUUGGAUUUUGUAAUGGAAAGACAUUGACUUGAAAUUAAACUGCCAAUGGCAAAGUCAUUUCUGCAAAUGACAUUAUACACAGAUAUCCCCCUAAUGUUCCUAUUGCAGUCAGGUGUGUCAUUAGGUGUGGCAGAAUGAAAUGAUGUUCUCAUUUUGUAAGGCAUGUGUGUUUGAGGGAACGCUCGGAGAGAGCCCGUUGCGUGGCAACCCGGUAGGACUCAUUACUCUGUCGUGCCUGCUAAGGUAACUGGUCUGUGGGCGUGUGAAGCCUUGUCACCUCCAGUCCCUUCCGCCUCACCAGUCACCUGGUGGCUACAGUAAGUGGCAUGGGAUAUCUGCUCCUGGGUAUAGAGCCAGGGCUCGACCACUCAGCAUACGGGG